UACGUAGGGUGCGAGCGUUGCCCGGAUUUAUUGGGCGUAAAGGGCGCGUGGGCGGCCACGCACGUCCGUUGUGAAAUCGCCCGGCUCAACUGGGCGGGGUCGGCGGAUACGGCGUGGCUGGAGCAAGCUAGGGGGCAAUGGAAUUCCCGGUGUAGUGGUGGAAUGCGUAGAUAUCGGGAGGAACACCAGUGGCGAAGGCGAUCAUCUGGGGUUGUUCUGACGCUGAGGAGCGAAAGCUAGGGGAGCAAACGGG
rnacentral:rRNA from 1 species